UACCAUUUAAGGCGCGAUACAUCUUAAAGGCUGAUAAGAAUAAAGUCCUUUGGUGCAUCUUGCUUUUGAUGGUGGU